rnacentral:tRNA from 1 species
AAGGGAGGCCUAAUUCAGGUAGGAGACGAAAAAAAGUAGUCCCUACCAAGAAUCAAUCCCAAAAGGUCGGAGCGAGGCAAAAUUGGCUUUCAAACUAGGUUCUGGGUUCACAUAAGACCUGAAUCAGGAACAAGGGCUAUUAGCUCAGGUGGUUAGAGCGCACCCCUGAUAAGGGUGAGGUCCCUGGUUCGAGUCCAGGAUGGCCCACCUGCACAGGUGGCAAAAACAAAGAAAAGAAGCUCCGAAUCAGCACCUUAUCUUACUCAUAUAGUAAGAGAGAAUGCUGGCUCUGAGUUCAGAGUCCAGAGGAACCUUGAAAACUGCAUAGAGCUAGGUGAAAAAGCCAAAAAAGAAGACCGCAA